CGAACGGUAACAGGGAUUAGCUUGCUAAUUUGCUGACGAGUGGCGGACGGGUGAGUAAUGCUUGGGAACCUAGCUUAUGGAGGGGGAUAACUACGGGAAACUGUAGCUAAUACCGCGUAAAAUCUUCGGAUUAAAGGGUGGGACUUUCGGGCCACCUGCCAUAAGAUGAGCCCAAGUGGGAUUAGGUAGUUGGUUAGGUAAAGGCUGACCAAGCCGACGAUCUCUAGCUGGUCUGAGAGGAUGACCAGCCACACUGGAACUGAGACACGGUCCAGACUCCUACGGGAGGCAGCAGUGGGGAAUAUUGCACAAUGGGGGGAACCCUGAUGCAGCCAUGCCGCGUGAAUGAAGAAGGCCUUCGGGUUGUAAAGUUCUUUCGGUGACGAGGAAGGUUGAUAGGUUAAUAGCCUAUCAAAUUGACGUUAAUCACAGAAGAAGCACCGGCUAACUCCGUGCCAGCAGCCGCGGUAAUACGGGGGGUGCGAGCGUUAAUCGGAAUAACUGGGCGUAAAGGGCACGCAGGCGGUGACUUAAGUGAGAUGUGAAAGCCCCGGGCUUAACCUGGGAAUUGCAUUUCAUACUGGGUCGCUAGAGUACCUUAGGGAGGGGUAGAAUUCCACGUGUAGCGGUGAAAUGCGUAGAGAUGUGGAGGAAUACCGAAGGC
rnacentral:rRNA from 1 species